GAAGAGAGCUGGCGCACGGGAUGAGUAACCGCGUAUGCAACGUAACUGGGGGAUAGCUCCCUGAAAGGGGAGACCGCAUAAGACUACGGCAUCGCAUGGUGCAGUGGUAAAAUAAAUAUAGGAGGUGAUGGGCAUGCGUGACAUUAGUUUGUUGGUGAGGUAACGGCUCACCAAGACAUGUCUAGGGGACUUCUGAGAGGAAGGUCCCCCACACUGGUACUGAAGACACGGACCAGACUCCUUACGGGAGCGCAGCAGUGAGGAAUAUUGGUCAAUGGACGCAAAGUCUGAACCAGCCAUGUCGCGUGCAGGAAGACGGCCCUAUGGGUUGUAAACUGCUAUUGUAUGGGAAGAAAGUUAGCUACGGUAGCUAUUUGCGGGUACCAUACGAAUAAGGAUCGGCUAACUCCGUGCCUCAGCCGCGGUAAUACGGAGGAUCCGCCUAAUCCGGAUUUAUUGGGGUUAAAGCUGCGUAGGCGGACUGAUAAGUCAGUGGUGAAAUGCUGCAGCUUAACUGUAGAAUUGCGCGUUGAUACUGUCAGUCUUGAGUACAGUACGUUAGGCGGAAUGUGGUGUGUAGCGGUGAAACACAUAGAUAUACCACAAUUGCGAAGGCAGCUUACUAAAGUGUCACUGACGCUGAUGCACGAAAGCGUGGGUAUCAAACAGGAUUAGAUACCCUGGUAGUCCACGCUGUAAACGAUGAUUACUGGUUGUUAGCGAAUAUACCGUUAGUGACUGAGCGAAACGCAUUAAGUUGAAUCCACCUGGGGAGUACGUCGGCAACGAUGAAACUCAAAGGAAUUGACGGGGCCCGCACAAGCGGAGGAACAUGUGGUUUAAUUCGAUGAUACGCGAGGAACCUUACCUGGGUUUAAAUGGGAAGUGACAGACUUGGAAACAGGAUUUCUUCGGACACUUCUCUAAGGUGCUGCAUGGUUGUCGUCAUAUCGUGCCGUGAGGUGUCACGGUUAAGUCCCAUAACGAGCGCAAGUACUAUCGGUAGUUACCAGCCUGUACUGGUGGGGACUCGGCCGAGACUGCCGGAAAUCCGUGUUCCGAGGUGGGGAUGACGUCAAAUCAGCACGGCGGUACAUCCAGGGCUACACACGUGUUACAAUGGCCGGUACAAAGGGCAGCUACACAUGUGAUAUGCGAAUCUCCCAGGCCGGUUCUCAGUUCGGAUUGGAGUCUGCAACCCGACUCCAUGAAGCUGGAUUCGCUAGUAAUCGCGCAUCAGCCUACUCGCGGUGAAUACGUUCCCGGGCCCACACCGCCCGUCACUAGCCAUGGGAGCCGGGGGUAAC
rnacentral:rRNA from 1 species